rnacentral:tRNA from 1 species
UGGCUCAGAGGUUAAAGCGUCUGCCUGGAAUGCGGGAGACCCGGGUUCAAUCCCUGG